rnacentral:rRNA from 1 species
AGUGAACGCUGGCGGUAGGCCUAACACAUGCAAGUCGAACGGCAGCACAGUAAGAGCUUGCUCUUACGGGUGGCGAGUGGCGGACGGGUGAGGAAUACAUCGGAAUCUACUUUUUCGUGGGGGAUAACGUAGGGAAACUUACGCUAAUACCGCAUAUGACCUACGGGUGAAAGCAGGGGAUCUUCGGACCUUGCGCGAUUGAAUGAGCCGAUGUCGGAUUAGCUAGUUGGCGGGGUAAAGGCCCACCAAGGCGACGAUCCGUAGCUGGUCUGAGAGGAUGAUCAGCCACACUGGAACUGAGACACGGUCCAGACUACUACGGGAGGCAGCAGUGGGGAAUAUUGGACAAUGGGCGCAGGCCUGAUCCAGCCAUACCGCGUGGGUGAAGAAGGCCUUCGGGUUGUAAAGCCCUUUUGUUGGGAAAGAAAAGCAGCAGGUUAAUACCCCGCUGUUCUGACGGUACCCAAAGAAUAAGCACCGGCUAACUUCGUG